CUUGGUCAUUUAGAGGAAGUAAAAGUCGUAACAAGGUUUCCGUAGGUGAACCUGCGGAAGGAUCAUUCAUAAUAAGUGUUUUAUGGCACUUUUUAAAUCCAUAUCCACCUUGUGUGCAAUGUCAGUCGAUCUUCUUUAUGGAGAUCGGCCAAACAUCAACCAUAUCUUUUAACUCUUUGUCUGAAAAAUAUUAUGAAUAAACAAUUCAAAAUACAACUUUCAACAACGGAUCUCUUGGCUCUCGCAUCGAUGAAGAACGCAGCGAAAUGCGAUACGUAAUGUGAAUUGCAGAAUUCAGUGAAUCAUCGAAUCUUUGAACGCAUAUUGCGCUCUUUGGUAUUCCGAAGAGCAUGCUUGUUUGAGUAUCAGUAAACACCUCAAAGCUUUUGAUUUUUUUUUGAAAGCUUUGGACUUGAGCAAUCCCAACACCAGUCUUUUUUAGAUCGGAGGCGGGUUGCUUGAAAUGCAGGUGCAGCUGGACAUUCUCCUGAGCUAAAAGCAUAUUCAUUUAGUCCCGUCAAACGGAUUAUUACUUUUGCUGCAGCUAACAUAAAGGGAGUUUGACCGUAUUGGCUGACUGAUGCAGGAUUUCACAGGGGUCGGCAACGACGCUUGUUAAACUCGAUCUCAAAUCAAGUAAGACUACCCGCUGAACUUAAGCAUAUCAAUAAGCGGAGGA
rnacentral:rRNA from 1 species